CAACAUAACCCAGUCUGCCUGGGCAAGUUUCAAGCUCGGGGACCGGUCUCUCCCUGCCUGGGACCGGUCCCAGAGGGACCUCCUCAAUCUCACGUGUUCGGGAACCGGUCCCUCUGGCCUAGGGACCGGUUGCCUCGCGCUUGCCACAGCCCUCAGCCUCGGGGCAACCGGUCCCUCCCUCCUGGGACCGGUCCCCGAGAGCAAGCUCGCGUAGACAACGUUCGGGAACCGGUCCCUCCCGCCAGGGACCGGUCCCCGAGAGCAAGUUUGCCAAGUGCAAAUUCUUGCACUAUUUGCUCUCGCGGACUCCAUUGUAAUGCACUUUUGGUGCAUUUGACUUCUUCGGCUUUCACGAAGCACCCCCACUCGACAAUUAGUCGAUUUUGAGUGAAGUCCAACUCUCGCAUUUUGAGAAUUCACUUCCCUUGCACCAACUCCUCCAUGGAGUUAUCGGCUAAACCGAUUACGUCGGCUUCCACAGGUGGACCAACGGUCACCAACACCACGUAGGCCUACUGCCUAAACCCGUCGCAACUACGCAUAGCGUCCCUCGCUCGCAUCGUAGACCUAAUCAUCAUCAGGCGACAUUCUCAUUGGAGAAUUCGCACACACUCCAACCAGGAGCAACCAAGACCCCAAACCACAUCAUGUCCUCGGGUUGGGUCACCACACACUCGGUGUGUCCUCAAUCUCACGAUCUAACACGUGGCAUUCCACGUACUCGGGUCCAAGCUUGGACUACCGUCCUGACCAAUCUCUGUCCUACCCGUAGGUACCGGGCCGCUGCCUCUCGCAGCUGACUGCGCCUGCCCAAUGGGCCCAGGCUCCACAGUCCACAAAUGGUCCAGGCACGGAUCGUCCCCAAGCACUACCCGCCAACGUCGUCCUACACGACAUGCUCUGCAGAGCUACACACUCUACCGGCUCCUAAGUACCUAGUGCGAGCCACCAGCCCUCACGAGUGAUCCAUGGCCCGCUUCACACUUAGCCCUGCUGAAGUGCUACUGCCAAUUCACUCGACCGGCUGAAUCAAAACCGCACUUCACGAGUAUCUAUACUCGAGCGCUCUAUGCCUCU
rnacentral:lncRNA from 1 species